CAAAAAAGAAGUUCGCCUAUAUAUAGCCUGUAUAGUUUUAUUUUUCCGUGAUCCGGAUCGCGGGCCUCGCGGGGUUUUCUGAAAGUGUGCACGGAGAAUGACACGUGUUUCCGUUUCAACGAAAACAACACAGCUUCACCGUGACUGUCACAACCAACGCUUGUAUUUUACAUCUUUAAAACGACCUGAUGUCAGAAGAAGAUGCCCUGGAUCGCCUGUUGCAGGAUGACCCAAACGAUCAUGCAUUCAGUAUAAAUACGUACAUGGUAUUGACAUCCCAAUAUUUAGUGGGAAGUUCCCAGGUAUCAUCCGCUAGCGACAGUCUACUGACAAAUCCAGACAUGCAUUGGAAGGAUGCUGAUAUGGAGGACACAGGAACACCUGAUCCCAGAACUGUGGCAUUUCAUUCGGGGUGACAACCUGGCUUUCAGUUGGUAUGACUCUUUGAGGUUGAAUAUAGGGUUAAAUCAGUGUAAAUUUGAUUAACAUUCAAAUAAAUCCAGAUAAUACAUUCACAAUUGGAAUCAUGGCAUUAUGGUACACUGAUAUAUGUGUACCAUUUUACUGUUCUUUUUUUUUUUGUGGGUUUUUUUUUUUUUUUUUUUUUUGCUGCAUAACUAGGGAUCGUAUACAUACAAAAUGAGACAAAACAAUUUCUAAUUAGUUUCUAAUUAUAAGGUAUGACACGUUUUAAGGUAUGGUGGCCAAUACUGAUUUUAUUUGCAAUUUUCUUUCAGAUAUGGGACCCUAUUAUUCGGAGAACUGCAGAUUUUAUGAAGCUGUCUUUGACAGAAGAUUUGGUUUUCUCCAUCUGUGUUGCCACCAACCAUUAUGCUGAGAUGGUCACAUCUAGGGGGAAGGGUUGCCAUAUACUUCCCAAGGAAGUUUGCAGCCUCUCACUGAAGAGGAACUGUACAGGUAUUACUAGUUUUAAAAACCGAUAUUGUGGCAGUGACUUCCAGUUUCAAAAGAAUAAUAAAAUGCAUAGUAAAAAGAUUACCUUUACCAAAAUUAAUCUGGCUGUGAAUGUAACUCAUUUAUUAAAUGUGUACUACAAUUACCUCUGAUAAAAUUUCAUAAGUAAUUAAAUGCAUACUUUUCAGAGGGCCUUGAUUAUCGAAAACAUUUACAGAGCCAAUUUGAGUAUUCAAAAGCUUUGACAAUACAUUAGUAUUUAGGACUAAGUAUUAAGAAAUACUUUUUUUUCCAGAUUUUUGUGCAUUAUCUUAUACACGCCUGCUGUGAAGUUCCAGUCGAUAGACAGAUAUUGGUCAACGCAUGUCCCUGUCGGAACAACUCGUUAUCAAGAAUUAUGUCUAGAAAUAGGUUUCAAGAGGUUGAAUAUAAGAACAUUUUUGUUAAAUAUGAUGCAAGUACAUUUAAAUCUAGUGAUUGAAAGUAAGUACUUGAACAUUCGCUUAUGUUGAACUUGGAAAGGAAAAAUGGUUAGUACUUUUUGAUAACAUUUGAUAAGGUGUUGUUGCUUAGCAACCAAAUAUAACUGAAUAAAAAAUAGAUUAUUUUAGAUUAACAAUAAUUGAAAGAUCUUUGUUUUAAUGUUGCAAUACUUAUUCUAUUUAAUGGAACAUAAUGGCAAAACGUCAUAUUAUUAGAAAAUGAUGGACAAGUAUAUAAAGUACGAAGUUUCCAUUUGAUGACCUUUGACCUUAAUUCUCUUCAUACAUUUUUUGUUAAAAACCUUUUAAAAUGAUUAAGAUCUAUUUAAAGAUUAUAUUUUAAGAUAAUGUGACAUUUACUAAUCAUCAUGGAUUGUAAUUACGUUUAAAUUGUGUCGAAUGGAUGCAGAAAAGCAAAUUAUGGUCAAAAUUGUACUAUGAGUGUUGUUCCUUAGCAACCAAAAAUAUUUGUUUGUCAAUAAAAUUGAUUAGUUUGA